rnacentral:rRNA from 1 species
CAGACUGAGUGGCGGACGGGUGAGUAACACGUGAGCAACCUGCCCACGAAGACUGGGAUAAUCCCUGGAAACGGGGACUAAGACCGGAUAGGUACACAGACCGCAUGAUCUGUGUAUUAAAGGUGAGAGACACUGGUGGAUGGGCUUACGGUGCAUUAGCUGGAUGGUGAGGUAACGGCCCACCAUGGCGAUGAUGCAUAGCCGGGCUGAGAGGCUGAACGGCCACAUUGGGACUGAGACACGGCCCAGACUCC